rnacentral:rRNA from 1 species
UUCCAGCUCCAAUAGCGUAUAUUAAUGUUGUUGCAGUUAAAAAGCUCGUAGUCGGAUUUUUGUGUCAUGUCGAACUGUCUGCCGAUUGGCUUGUACGGUUUGACGGGCAUAUUCCUUCCAGAGGCUCCGUGAGGCCUUCAUUGGUUUCGCGGCUGAAUCUGGGUCUUUUACUUUGAAAAAAUUAGAGUGUUCAAAGCAGGCCUAUGCUCGAAUAGGUUAGCAUGGAAUAAUAGAAUAGGACUUCGGUCUUAUUUUGUUGGUUUCUAGGACCGAAGUAAUGAUUAACAGGGACGGUUGGGGGUAUUCGUAUUCCAUUGUCAGAGGUGAAAUUCUUGGAUUUAUGGAAGACGAACUACUGCGAAAGCAUUUACCAAGGAUGUUUUCAUUA